CCAGACUCCUACGGGAGGCAGCAGUGGGGAAUAUUGCACAAUGGGGGAAACCCUGAUGCAGCGACGCCGCGUGGGCGAGGAAGUACCUCGGUAUGUAAAGCCCUAUCAGCAGGGAAGAAAUUGGACGGUACCUGACUAAGAAGCCCUGGCUAACUACGUGCCAGCAGCCGCGGUAAUACGUAGGGGGCAAGCGUUAUCCGGAUUCACUGGGUGUAAAGGGAGCGCAGGCGGCACGGCAAGCCUGAUGUGAAAGCCCGCGGCCCAACCGCGGGACUGCAUUGGGAACUACCGGGCUGGAGUGCCGGAGAGGUAGGCGGAAUUCCUAGUGUAGCGGUGAAAUGCGUAGAUAUUAGGAGGAACACCAGUGGCGAAGGCGGCUUACUGGACAGUAACUGACGUUGAGGCUCGAAAGCGUGGGGAGCAAACAGGAUUAGAUACCCCCGUAAC
rnacentral:rRNA from 1 species